rnacentral:rRNA from 1 species
UACGAAGGGGGCUAGCGUUGCUCGGAAUCACUGGGCGUAAAGGGUGCGUAGGAGGGUCUUUAAGUCAGGGGUGAAAUCCUGGAGCUCAACUCCAGAACUGCCUUUGAUACUGAAGAUCUUGAGUUCGGGAGAGGUGAGUGGAACUGCGAGUGUAGAGGUGAAAUUCGUAGAUAUUCGCAAGAACACCAGUGGCGAAGGCGGCUCACUGGCCCGAUACUGACGCUGAGGUGCGAAAGCGUGGGGAGCAAACAGG